rnacentral:rRNA from 1 species
GUGGGGAAUAUUGGGCAAUGGGGGAAACCCUGACCCAGCAACGCCGCGUGAGGGAAGAAGGUUUUCGGAUUGUAAACCUCUGUCCUUGGUGACGAAGGAAGUGACGGUAACCAAGGAGGAAGCCCCGGCUAACUACGUGCCAGCAGCCGCGGUAAUACGUAGGGGGCAAGCGUUGUCCGGAAUGACUGGGCGUAAAGGGCGUGUAGGCGGCCGAUUAAGUCUGGCGUGAAAGUCCUGCUUUCAAGGUGGGAAUUGCUUUGGAGACUGGUUGGCUUGAGUGCGGAAGAGGGAAGUGGAAUACCCAGUGUAGCGGUGAAAUGCGUAGAGAUUGGGAGGAACACCAGUGGCGAAGGCGACUUACUGGGCCGUAACUGACGCUGAGGCGCGAAAGCGUGGGGAGCGAACAGGAUUAGAAACCCGAGUAGUCC